UUCUCUACUAACCCCUCAAUAAUACCAACCCUCCCCGGCGACAACCGGACUUGCCUUUCCUUGCCUCUUUCCAUCCCGGUGACAUCGCGGUCGUCCUUGACCUCAUGGAUGCCAGAUCCCUAUGAUCCCAAUGCUUGAAACUUUUUCGAAGAGUAGCUGCUGCACACAAGGUUUAAAAGCACUUGGGUUCCUACCUCCAAAAGCCGGGAACGGCAGCGACAACUCACUGUUCUUCAACAACAACGCCAACUAUACCCAAGCGGUCAAAGAUUGCGUUUGGUGAGGAUCCCGAACUUGAAAAGGCUGAGAAGAAACACAUUGCCAGUGAAGGUCUCUAAAGGGGCAGAACUUCAUCAGCAUUACGAUGACUCCAAAAUUUUCAAAAGCUGUAAGUGCAUGGAGGUCUUCUUUGUUUAUGUCGAUUUUUGGUGGCGAAGUGGAUAGCAUGCAGAAGAGGACUCCUACUUCAGAUUGUAUUGGUUGGAGCAUUGAAGAAGUUAUGACUCUCCAUAAUGUCCCAUUUUCAGAACAUUUUCGUAUCCACUUGAGAUACCAAAUUUGGACCAGUGGCAUUGCGAAGUAUCUGUUGGUGUCUUACGGACGAAGAAGAACAAAUUCCAUAAAAGGAUCACCAAGAAUAUAUGUGAUAAAUUAUGUCAUAGGUCUCAAGAAAUUUUUGAAGUUGCUGAGGAUGAAUUACUUUCUGCAAAAGCACAGGAGCAUGUGACCUAGAACCAGAGGAUGUGGGACAUUCCAUUGUGAUUAGUGGAUGUAUAUGACAAAUAAUUGCAUAUGACUGUAGUUGCCAAGAGGUUGAUAUGUAAGUAUAAAAUGCAUGUGGUCUAGACAUGUGAA